CCUACGGGGGGCUGCAGUCGAGAAUCAUUCACAAUGGGGGAAACCCUGAUGGUGCGACGCCGCGUGGGGGAAUGAAGGUCUUCGGAUUGUAAACCCCUGUCAUGUGGGAGCAAAUUAAAAAGAUAGUACCACAAGAGGAAGAGACGGCUAACUCUGUGCCAGCAGCCGCGGUAAUACAGGGGUCUCAAGCGUUGUUCGGAAUCACUGGGCGUAAAGCGUGCGUAGGCUGUUUCGUAAGUCGUGUGUGAAAGGCGCGGGCUCAACCCGCGGACGGCACAUGAUACUGCGAGACUAGAGUAAGGGAGGGGGAACCGGAAUUCUCGGUGUAGCAGUGAAAUGCGUAGAUAUCGAGAGGAACACUCGUGGCGAAGGCGGGUUCCUGGACAUUAACUGACGCUGAGGCACGAAGGCCAGGGGAGCGAAAGGGAUUAGAUACCCUGGUAGUC
rnacentral:rRNA from 1 species